UUUGUCCUUGUCUUUGGGGAGCAUAGUGCUCAAUGAUCGUUUAGUGAGAGUACUGAUGCUGAAACCCGAAAUAAGUUUUACCCGCAUCCGUAUUUUAUUUUUACGAGAUGCAAUUUUUGAGAGG